AUCUUCCACAAUGGACGAAAGUCUGAUGGAGCAACGCCGCGUGAGUGAAGAAGGUUUUCGGAUCGUAAAACUCUGUUAUUGGAGAAGAACGUAUUUGGUAGUAACUGGCCAGAUAGUGACGGUAUCCAAUCAGAAAGCCACGGCUAACUACGUGCCAGCAGCCGCGGUAAUACGUAGGUGGCAAGCGUUGUCCGGAUUUAUUGGGCGUAAAGCGAGUGCAGGCGGUUUUUUAAGUCUGAUGUGAAAGCCUUCGGCUUAACCGAAGAAAUGCAUUGGAAACUGGGAAACUUGAGUGCAGAAGAGGAGAGUGGAACUCCAUGUGUAGCGGUGAAAUGCGUAGAUAUAUGGAAGAACACCAGUGGCGAAGGCGGCUCUCUGGUCUGUAACUGACGCUGAGGCUCGAAAGCGUGGGUAGCAAACAG
rnacentral:rRNA from 1 species